GGGGAGCUUCAGCCUAUUAUUCUCCUCGACAACUUCCUGGUGAUUGAGCUUGCGUGCUUCAUUCUGUGGAGGAGGAUGCAAAACACCUUUCAGUGCCAAAGCAAACAUGCUUCUCCAAGAUGAGGAGCUACUCCUGAAGCGUCGCCACGCUGACUACAGGCUCUUGUCACUGGAGUGGAACCAAAAGCUGGAGCAAGUGUGCAUUUAUGUGAAUGUGUCAACGGGAGUGCGGGAGUCCGAUGGGCCUGGCCUGGCCCGGCUCGGGCUGGGCUGAGGCACAGCAGACAUGAAUGGAACAUAAAGAUGGCGUCUUGUUUUCCAUCUCACCCGAAUGUUCCCCACUAGUGCCACCGUGAUCAAGACCAGGGACAACUUGAGUUGUUUCAUCUUUCUCCUUGCCCCCCUCCAUCUUCCAAACUGUGGGACUGAUUUUUUUUUUUUUUUUUUUUUUCUACACUCACUGACAAUCUUAGCUUGAACCACACUACAAGACAGAGCUGUGCUGCUCUAAUUUCCAAGGAAGAAUUAUAAGUACAAUUCGGUAUAUGUCUUUUUGAUAACAACACAUACAGCUGCAAAAAAAAAAAAUCCACAUUGAAAUGGCAAACUGAGCAG